rnacentral:rRNA from 1 species
UGGGGAAUUUUGGACAAUGGGGGAAACCCUGAUCCAGCCAUCCCGCGUGUGCGAUGAAGGCCUUCGGGUUGUAAAGCACUUUUGGCAGGAAAGAAACGUCAUGGGUUAAUACCCCGUGAAACUGACGGUACCUGCAGAAUAAGCACUGGCUAACUACGUGCCAGCAGCCGCGGUAAUACGUAGGGUGCAAGCGUUAAUCGGAAUUACUGGGCGUAAAGCGUGCGCAGGCGGUUCGGAAAGAUAGAUGUGAAAUCCCAGAGCUCAACUUUGGAACUGCAUUUUUAACUACCGGGAUAGAGUGUGUCAGAGGGAGGUGGAAUUCCGCGUGUAGCAGUGAAAUGCGUAGAUAUGCGGAGGAACACCGAUGGCGAAGGCAGCCUCCUGGGAUAACACUGACGCUCAUGCACGAAAGCGUGGGGAGCAAACAGG